rnacentral:rRNA from 1 species
UGAGGAAUAUUGCGCAAUGGGCGAAAGCCUGACGCAGCGACGCCGCGUGGAGGAUGAAGGUUUUCGGAUUGUAAACUCCUGUUAAGUGGGAAGAAACGACAAAAUAUAAUACAUUUUGUAACUGACGGUACCAUUAAAGAAAGCACCGGCUAACUUCGUGCCAGCAGCCGCGGUAAUACGAGGGGUGCAAGCGUUAUUCGGAAUUAUUGGGCGUAAAGGGUGCGUAGGCGGCGUAUUAAGUCAACUGUUAAAACCUCCAGCCUAACUGGAGAUCAGCAGUAGAUACUGGUAUGCUAGAGGAUGGAAGAGAGAAGUGGAAUUCUUGGAGUAGCGGUGGAAUGCGUAGAUCUCAAGAGGAACACCAAUGGCGAAGGCAGCUUCUUGGUCCAUAUCUGACGCUGAUGCACGAAAAGCGUGGGGAGCAAAACAGGAUUAGAUACCCUGGUAGUCCACGCCGUAAACGAUGAUCACUAGAUGUUAAUUCUGCUUGCAGAAUUAGUGUCGUAGCUAACGCGAUAAGUGAUCCGCCUGGGGGACUACGGUCGCAAGAUUAAAACUCAAAGGAAUUGACGGGGUCAUAGCUGUUUCCUG